CGUGUAGGCGGUCGGCCAAGUCUGAUGUGAAAGCCCGGGGCUCAGCUCCGGAAGUGCGUCGGAAACUAGUCGGCUGGAGCGCGAUAGAGGAGGGUGGAAUUCCUGGUGUAGCGGUGGAAUGCGUAGAUAUCAGGAGGAACACCGGCGGCGAAGGCGGCCCUCUGGAUCGUUGCUGACGCUGAGACGCGAAAGCGUGGGGAGCAAACAGGAUUAGAUACCCUGGUAGUCCACGCUGUAAACGAUGGGUACUAGGUGUUUGGGGUAUUGACCCCCUGAGUGCCGCAGUUAACGCAUUAAGUACCCCGCCUGGGGACUACGGCCGCAAGGUUAAA
rnacentral:rRNA from 1 species